rnacentral:rRNA from 1 species
AAAUGAAUUGACGGGGGCCCGCACAAGCGGUGGAGCAUGUGGUUUAAUUCGACGCAACGCGAAGAACCUUACCUGGGCUCGAACGGCUUCCGAUCGACUGUGGAAACACGGUUUUCCCGCAAGGGACGGGAGUCGAGGUGCUGCAUGGCUGUCGUCAGCUCGUGUCGUGAGAUGUUGGGUUAAGUCCCGCAACGAGCGCAACCCUUGUCCUGUGUUGCUACUCCGCAAGGAGGCACUCUCAGGAGACUGCCGGCGAUAAGCUGGAGGAAGGUGGGGAUGACGUCAAGUCAUCAUGGCCUUUAUGUCCAGGGCUACACACGUGCUACAAUGGACGGUACAAACCGACGCCAACCCGCGAGGGGGAGCAAAUCGGAAAAAACCGUUCUCAGUUCGGAUCGCAGGCUGCAACUCGCCUGCGUGAAGCUGGAAUCGCUAGUAAUGCCGUAUCAGAACGACGGCGUGAAUACGUUCCCGGGCCUUGUACACACCGCCCGU